AACCUUUUUUUCCCCGCCGGAAGGGCAUAUAUAUGAAAUGUCGAUGCAAAUCGACUAUGGCGAUAAAUGGCCUUCGUAAUAAGCCUAUCGGACCCGGGGGCGGUACCCGGCGCCUCCACCAAAUUCCAGACUGCCAUGGGGAAGCAUCCCUUGGAUCUGGAAUCCGGCGGGGGCGAAAUAGGAUCGACGAGGGUGUAAAGGUUGAGCUUUCGCUCGGCAUGGUUCCGCCGUUAUCGGGCCAUUCAAUAGUUGCAAACGACAACUAUGCCGAGGCAGCUCUCGCUGCGUAAGCAGUGCGAUAGCCUCAAAUUCAAGCCCUAACCGGUCGCACGGUUAGGCGCGGUUUCGGAGGGCACCGGGCAACAGAAGCCCUCCACU
rnacentral:tmRNA from 1 species